rnacentral:lncRNA from 1 species
UCUAAUUGAGUUAAGGAAAUAAGUGUGCAUGAGCAAGGAUUUGUGUUAUAAUUGAGGAAAUGAAAACCCUAAUUAAAUGAAUUGGGGUGGAUAAGAAUUUAGGUAAUUGGACUAUGUAUAUUUUAUAGCCUAAGUGUUGGCCAAUGGAAUUAGUUAGAAACCCAAGCAAUACAUUAAAGGAAUGGCUCAAUUUUUAGCCCAAGUGGGAGAGGAAUUUUUGGACAUUUGAUAAAUCAAAUAAGCAUUAAAUCAAAGAGCCAAACUUGGUGCAUUUUUAGGCCAAGUGGCCGGACCUAGGUGAGCAAAAAGGAGGAGCAAAAUAG